rnacentral:hammerhead_ribozyme from 1 species
CUUCAGCUGACGAGUCUAAAAUGGGACGAAACGCGCGUUCUGGGU